AUUGAACGCUGGCGGCAGGCCUAACACAUGCAAGUCGAGCGGAUGAAGGGAGCUUGCUCCUGGAUUCAGCGGCGGACGGGUGAGUAAUGCCUAGGAAUCUGCCUGGUAGUGGGGGAUAACGUCCGGAAACGGGCGCUAAUACCGCAUACGUCCUGAGGGAGAAAGUGGGGGACCUUCGGACCUCACGCUAUCAGAUGAGCCUAGGUCGGAUUAGCUAGUUGGUGGGGUAAAGGCCUACCAAGGCGACGAUCCGUAACUGGUCUGAGAGGAUGAUCAGUCACACUGGAACUGAGACACGGUCCAGACUCCUACGGGAGGCAGCAGUGGGGAAUAUUGGACAAUGGGCGAAAGCCUGAUCCAGCCAUGCCGCGUGUGUGAAGGAGGUCUUCGGAUUGUAAAGCACUUUAAGUUGGGGGGAAGGGCAGUAAGUUAAUACCUUGCUGUUUUGACGUUACCAACAGAAUAAGCACCGGCUAACUUCGUG
rnacentral:rRNA from 1 species